rnacentral:lncRNA from 1 species
UGGCAUAUGGAGUUCCUGGGCCAGAUCCGAGGCACAGCUGCAACCCAAACCUCAGCUGCAUUUUUUUCUUUGCAGGGGGGAGACAGGCUUGAUUAUUCCAUCCAUGAAUAAGGCAUGUCUCUAAAUUAAUAUCUAAUGCCAAGAUGGCGUUUCUCUAAAUUAUUCUUGUUUAGUAAAGGUAAGAACUAACUAAGGCAAACUGCUACAGGUGAGUCAUCUUGGGGUGGGGGAAGAAUAAAGUGGAACAUUCUUGGGCAUAAAUCCAGCUGGCUGUGUAUUAUGAUCCCGAAGAACAAAUGUGGUACAAACUCUUCACCUGCAAAGAUUCCUGACUGAUAAGAAAUGGCCCUCACGAAACACUGAUAAGGGCGCAUGAAAAAAAAGGCCACUUAUGUCACUGCUACCUGAAUUUGAUCCCUCAAUAGUACAAGAGUGAACUUAAAAUUUUGUUAAAGCUGCAACCUAAGCUUCAGGAGAAAUUAAAAUUAAAAUCAACCAAUAUACUUGCCAUCAUUGAAAUGACUCUGUGCCCUGAUCUUUAUUUGCCUGGGUGUAUACACUGACAGUUAUUGUCACAGCAAAUAUGAAAUGUUCCACAUUUUUCAUGCUGCUAUGUCGUUCUAAGCAUCAUUUUAAUCACCUUCCUGGGUCAGACACUCCGUGCAUUCCAAUCACAUUCCAGCGGUCAAAGUGACAGAAUCACAGAGGCAAUGUUGGAAGUGCUUUACGGUUUUAGGUAUGCAUCACCAAACUGCUUUUCCAAAAGACUGUACCGAUGAGGACAACCUUGCAGGAAAAUAGGUAUAAAGAAAAUCCCGGGAGGUGACACACAAAAUGACAAUGAAUUGUAGUUGCAAGGGAUUAUGUGGGUUUCUCCUCAUGUUGCUAUUUUACAAAUUUCCUGCGAUGGUUGUAUGGCUUUUAUAAUCCCAAAAAAAAGGUUGGAGUUCCUGUUGUGGCUCAGCGGAAACGAACCCAACUAGUAUCCAGUUCAAUCCCUGGCCUUGCUCAGUGGGUUAAGGAUCUAUUGUUGCCAAGAGCUGUGGGCUGGUAGCUGCAGCUCUGAUCUGACCCCUAGCCUGGGAAUGUCCACAUGCUAUGGGUGUGGCUCUAAAAAAAGGACCAAAAAAAAAAAAGGUAAGCUUAGGAGGAAGCCAGGUGCAAGGUGUGUGGGAAUUCUCUGCAUGGUUUUGUGUUGUUUUUUUGUUGUUGUUGUUGUUCGGCUGAGCCCAUCCCAUGGCAUGCAAAAGUUCCUGGGCCAGGGAUCAAAUCCCUGCCAUAGCAGUGACAAUGCUGGAUCCUUAACCUGCUGAGCUACCAGGGAACUCCACCAUGACCUUUAAAAAAACUCUUUGUGGAGUUCCCGUCGUGGCGUAGUGGUUAACGAAUCCGACUAGGAACCAUGAGGUUGCGGGUUCGGUCCCUGACCUUGCUCAGUGGGUUAACAAUCCGGCGUUGCCGUGAGCUGUGGUGUAGGUUGCAGACGCGGCUCGGAUCCCGCGUUGCUGUGGCUCUGGCGUAGGCUGGUGGCUCCAGCUCCGAUUCGACCCCUAGCCUGGGAACCUCCAUAUGCUGCGGGAGCGGCCCAAGAAAUAGCAACAAAAACAACAAAAGACAAAAGACAAAAAAAAAAAAAAAAAAAAAAAAAAAACUCUUUGUAAAUCGAAAACUAUUUCAAAGGAUUUGGCAUUUGGAUGGCUGGAAGUUUCUUUAAACUCUGACUAAAUGGAAAAUUAGAGAGCAGAAUCUAUACCACAGGUCCGAUUUUAAGCAAGAAAUGAUGACUUUCCAUGAAAAGGGAAGGCUGCUGGAUCUACACCCAAAAAAUGGCCAAUAAAAGUACAAUUUAUCUACUUUAAGUGAAAUACAGUAUUGAAGGCAUAUGACUUAAAAAUAACUGCUGGCCUUUUUUCAUGAGUUGAUCAUCUCCAGUGCUCACAGGCUGGAGGGGAGGCCUUGGGCUGAGCUCAAGGGUCCUGUGGCAGCCACCCACUGCGGAGCUGAAAAAGCAAAGGCCACCUGGGCAGGCUGUGUCCCAGACUCCCCAUGUGACAAACUGAUGCCCUACAAGAACCUGUCCUUAAGCUGGCUGGCCUGGGGCACAUGGAAGAAUGCCCCAGGGGCCAGAAUCCAGAAUGAAGUGGUUACAAGCUGGUGGCUCCUUGGAAUGAGGAGUUCCCAGUGAAAAGGGGUUUGGAGGAGGGAGGGUUGGAAGGUAAGACAGGGAGACAGAUGCCUGUCCUGCAGCAGGCCUGGGAGAGGCAUAGGCCUCCAAGUGAGGCCUGCUUCUGAGACAGGCUGGGGAUGGGGAGGGCCCUUUGUGGAGGGUGGGGCUCUUCAGGGUGCAAGUAAGCCUGGGGUGCAGGGGACAAACGUGAUUGGAGAGAAGACACUCCUGCAAUGCAGAAGGGAAGGGAAAGGUCAAGGAGGCCCAAGCUGGGAGGUCUCUCCAUCCACUUGGGCAGUAGUCACGUCUCUAUAGUCACAUCUAUAAAGUUCCUAUGCACGAUGAGUUAGUGGAUCUGAGCUGUUGCUUCUAGGGGAAAUCUGGGGUUAGGUUCCACGAGCCUCUAGUCAUAUUUUUGUCAACCCAUUAAUAUAGGACCUUGUGUGAUGUAUAUUUCUGUUGAAAAGUGCCUUACUGAACAUUGACGCAUUGAAACUGAACUCGUGGCCAACAGCUCUAACUCACACCUGAACAGAGGUCUCAUAACACGGACUGUUUUCCCUGCACAGCCUCCCUGCAUUUAGGAUACUAGACAGCGCUUCCCUGGGCCUAGGGGCCAUUUAACAGUGAAACUCCCAAUGGAAAGCAUAAGGAUACAGAAAAUAUGGUACUAAAUACACCGCAAAAAGGAUGCUAGUUUACAGAACAAGCUGAGAUGGGAAAGGCAGACUGCCCCUCAUCCAGUCUCAGCUAGGAAUGGGCACAGAGGCGACUCAGGAGUGUUCUGCCACUCUGUGUGGCCAAGAAAGCUCUGUGAGCACUGGCUUGGGGCAUUAGAGAUAAACUUUUGCCAGGAGAUGAAUCCGUGAACCUGGAAUCCACAGAUCAUGAGAAAGGAACAGCAUUUUCAUGUUUACUUAGAGAGGAAACGCCAGAAACUGGGGAGGGGCGGGGGUAGGAAGACACUACACAACUAGACUCUGUGUUGUCAGCAUGGGGCCUGGGGCAGGAUGGAUGCUCGACAAACAUUUGCUGAAGGGGGAGAGGGAGGGAUGUCUGGGAGGCACCCGGUGUGGGGUUCAAGAGGAGAGACAAGUGAGGGGAGGGGCAGGGUGGAGGGAAUGCUUGGCGUGCAAAGGGUCCGUUGUGGGCUUUAGCAGCACCUGGGGUUUACGCUUUAUUCUUUUUUUUUUUUUUUUGCUUUGUAGGGUCACACCUUCGGCAUAUGAAGUUCUCAGGCUAGGGGUGGAAUCAGAGCUGCAGCUGCUGACCUUUAACACAGGCACAGCAACAUGGGAUCUGAGUCACACCUGCGACCUGCAACACAGCUCAUGGCAACACCGGAUCCUUAACCCACUGAGCGAGGCCAGGGAUCAAACCCACAUCCUCAUGGACACAAGCUGGGUUCAUAACUCAUUGAGCCACAACAGGAACUCCCACACUUUAUUCUUGACACUGAGGCCACAACAAGAUUUAUGCACGAGGGUAUAAGAUCAGAUUUGCUUCUGGAAGCAGCAGGUGCGACUGGGAACAGACUAGAAGGGAUUGAGGGUGGCUGUAGGGAGACAGAAGAGGAGAGCCAAGGGUAGAGGGUGCCAGGACCUGACCCG